AUGUGGGCACGGGUGGGAGCCACACACAUCGGGACUACGCUUUCCUGCCCCUUGCCAUGUUCCAUCACGAACACGGGCCUAAAGCGCCACAUGCUCGCAACGCCGUGCAACGCGCGGGGCCAAAAGGCGGAGCGCCGUCCGAGCCCCUGCUAGCCCCAGCUUACGGCCGGUUGCAUCGUCAAUGCUGCAUUCUAGUGUAUGCAAGCGCAGGCCCCACGGCGUUGCAAAUGGCGCAGCGCAGGGCAGCGGCAAGGUUCGCGCGCAACAUGCGGCCCUGUGACAUGUCAGUCGUAGCUGUGAGCCCGGGCACGGUCGGCUGCGCGCGAGUGCUGAACAUUACAUGGUGGUUUACAGACUAGUGCCUAACCCAGAGGGCAACCAGCUCCACCCGCCAAGAUUGGCCCGGAGGGCGCAGGCUCUCAAUCAGGCCCAACUCUGAGCUGCCAUCAGUCCCUGCAUAAUCCAUAGGAUACAUGAGCUUGUGAACCACACUGCAAAAGGUUUUCCCCGCCUCAUAGCGAGUUUCGGUCAAGGGGCCCCCAGCGAGCGCGAACUAAGGCCAAGCACUUAUCUUUUCCACCAUUGUCUAGGUUGUGCAGCUAUAGUAACGCUGUAGGGAAGCUUAACUUGAGCUUACCGGUCGCGAGUUGUCAUAGAGCGCCGGCGGCAAAACUCAGCCUAGGCAGGCCCGCAGCACGCCUGUGACGCAGCCAUGUUGAGCAAGACUCUAACGCAGCAGGAAGCGGCGGUGCGGGACGCUCAAAUCGGGCAGCUCAGAGAGUGCAAGGUGCUCGCGGAGGAGGAGGUCGUGGAGCUCGCUGCCAAGUGCAAGGAGCUGCUGCAGCAAGAGCAGAAUGUCACGCAUGUUCGUGCACCCGUCGUGGUCGUCGGCGACACUCACGGGCAGUUCCACGACCUGAUGGAGAUUUUCAAGAUUGCUGGCCAGGCUCCCGACGCGAACUAUCUGUUCCUGGGCGACUACGUGGACCG
rnacentral:lncRNA from 1 species